rnacentral:rRNA from 1 species
ACGGAGGUGGCAAGCGUUAUUCGGAUUUAUUGGGCGUAAAGGGCGCGUAGGCGGUUUGGUAAGUCUGAUGUGAAAUCUCCAUCGCUCAACGAGGAGUCUGCAUCGGAUACUGCCAAUCUUGAGUACGGGAGAGGUGAGUGGAAUUCCUGGUGUAGCGGUGGAAUGCGUAGAUAUCAGGAGGAACACCGGUGGCGAAAGCGGCUCACUGGCCCGUAACUGACGCUGAGGCGCGAAAGCGUGGGGAGCAAACAG